GAUGGAUAGUGGCCGAGUGGAUAACGCGAUGGCGUUUGAAGCGAGGGUACUGGGUUCGAGUCCCAGAGUGAAC
rnacentral:tRNA from 1 species